rnacentral:rRNA from 1 species
UACGGGAGGCAGCAGUGGGGAAUCUUGGACAAUGGGCGCAAGCCUGAUCCAGCCAUGCCGCGUGAGUGAUGAAGGCCUUAGGGUCGUAAAGCUCUUUCGCCAGGGAAGAUAAUGACGGUACCAGGUAAAGAAACCCCGGCUAACUCCGUGCCAGCAGCCGCGGUAAU